rnacentral:rRNA from 1 species
UAUCCUACGGGGGGCAGCAGUCGGGAAUAUUGCACAAUGGAGGAAACUCUGAUGCAGUGACACCGCGUAUAGGAAGAAGGGUUUCGGAUUGUAAACUAUUUUGGACAGGGAAGAAAAAAGACAGUACCUGUAGAAUAAGCUCCGGCUAACUACGUGCCAGCAGCCGCGGGACUACGUAGGGGGCAAGCGUUAUCCGGAAUUAUAGGGGGUAAAGGGUGCGUAGACGGGACAGCAAGUUAGUGGUGAAAGCCCGCGGCUUAA